rnacentral:sRNA from 1 species
UGUUGUAUGUACCUAUAGUCCAAUACAACAUACAAGUUGUAUUCUGUCUGUGAUGAAUUGCAAUGAAUUCAGCACUCUAUUGUUGUUAGUCUACAUGCCAUUGAUGUUGAAGCAUCCCUUUAUGUAGUGUAUUUGUUCCCAUUCAGAUUGGGUUUUAUUUUCGGUAAAUCUCUUGUUGCAAUACUUUAUUGUCUGUGAUCCGUUUACUGUAGCAUUACAGUUCCUUAAUUAAUGUACGUAGUCUGUUGUGGCAAUGAUAACCAUCAUAUACGCAAUGUUCAUACUGCACCAGAGAAAAGAAAUCGCUGUUUUUAAAUUUGCAAGGUAUAUACAGAUUUGGUGAGGGUUUAAUUCUUUUGUUUCCAUAAGCACAGAAAAAAAAAAUGAAUUUUUGACAAUAAAAAUUUGUUGUUUUCUUUAAAUGCACUAACUUUGUUUCAGAUCUUGAUUUAAUAUGCAUCAGUAUUACAAAAUGGUCUGUUUUUAAGAAUCUUGAAAACCCCACCUUUAAAUUGCAUUGUGAAUGUAGACAAAAAACGAAAAUAAAUUAUAUUUUCUAUG